ensembl:lncRNA
CCCACACACAGCACAGCACAAGAACAAUCAGGUAAUACGUUCAGCAGAGAAUGAAAAUUCAUCAGCUUCUUUUUCAUCUGAUAAACAUUUGCGGGGCCAACAUUCUGUGCUUGAUACCAGAGGUGAUAAAAUAAGGAUGGAAGUGCUAGAGUAACAUUGUCGCCACAUUUCUGACUGCUGUGAGAUCACCAUGUUGUUAUGCAUGAAGAUGCUGCUUCAUUCCUCUGGGCUCCAGAAGGAACUCUUCCCUUGGCCACACCUUCCCAAAGUCUAUUUGGAAUCCAUCCUCAAACUGAAAAAGCUUCAGGAAGAGAAGCCACAGUCUCCACCUUCCAGGGGCUCUGUUGGCAAGUCACCUCAGGAUCCAAGGACCCAGACAGGAGUCAAGACACAAUGGGCUGGGCUUCCCUGGUAGCUCAGUGCUAAAGAAUCCACCUGCCCAUGCAGGAGAUGUGAGUUCAAUCCCAGAUCUGGGAAGAUCCCACGUGCCUUGGAGCAACAAAGUCUGACAGCCACAACUCCUGAGCCUGUGCUCCAGAGCCUGGGAGCCGCGACUAUUGAAGUCAGUGCACCCUAGAGAAUGCGCCCUGCAACAAGAGACGCCACCAGCAUGAGCAGCCUGUGCAACGCAACUACAGAAAAGCCCCCAUGCACUGCAACUAGAGGAAAGCCCAUGCAGCAAUGAAGACCCAG